AUUGAACGCUGGCGGCAGGCCUAACACAUGCAAGUCGAGCGAGAAAGGUCUUCGGACUGAGUACAGCGGCGGACGGGUGAGUAACGCGUAGGAAUCUACCCAGUAGUGGGGGACAACAUGGUGAAAACCAUGCUAAUACCGCAUACGCCCUAUGGGGGAAAGCGGGGGAUCUUCGGACCUCGCGCUAUUGGAUGAGCCUGCGUCGGAUUAGCUAGUUGGUGGGGUAAAAGCCUACCAAGGCGACGAUCCGUAGCUGGUCUGAGAGGAUGAUCAGCCACACUGGGACUGAGACACGGCCCAGACUCCUACGGGAGGCAGCAGUGGGGAAUAUUGCGCAAUGGGGGAAACCCUGACGCAGCCAUGCCGCGUGUGUGAAGAAGGCCUUAGGGUUGUAAAGCACUUUCAAUUGGGAAGAAAAGUUCGUAGUUAAUAACUGCGAGCCCUGACAUUACCUUUAGAAGAAGCACCGGCUAACUCCG
rnacentral:rRNA from 1 species